GGUUGAUCCUGCCAGUAGUCAUAUGCUUGUGUCAAAGAUUAAGCCAUGCAAGUCCUAGUAUAGGUAGCAAAACCGAAACUGCGGAUGGCUCAUUAAAUCAGUCAUAAUUAAUUUGGUGAUUUGAAAUAUAAGGAUAACCCUGUUAAUUGUAGAGCUAAUACUUGAUGAAAGGGUCCACUUUUACUUUAAUGUAAGGGAGGACAGCAUUUGUCAGCUCGAAGAAGUUAAGAUAUAUUUUUAUAGUAAUAUAAGAGUAUAUCGAACUCUUACAUGAACUUUUUGUGGAGGAAGCA
rnacentral:rRNA from 1 species